UUUCCCGCGCCUGGUCCGGCCAGGAACCCGCCUCUCCAGAGGACCUUGACCUCGUGCGGACCUCGUUGCCUCUCUUAGCUCUCCCUGACCUGCUUUUGAACCCGCUAAUCCCGUCCCGAACUCUCGCCCGGUGGCAAUCCCUUGCUCUGGCCCUGGCGCGCUAAUUCCUGCUGACCCCGUUGCCCCUCUCUGCCCAUGCGGCUUGGAAGGGCGACAAGGGCUUCCGGCCUCAGAGAGCGGGUGUGAUGUGGUGGGGUGUGAUCUGGUGCGCAGGCUGGGACGUUCGCACCGCCGUAGGACCGGAGGGAACAGUCUCCUGUUUCAAAUUCUGUCCUCCUCUUGCCUUCUCCUGUUUCCCUAGUCCACGUAAUUUGUUUCUCUAAUAAACCAAACAGACGCACAGAGAUCAAAAUCCUUGUUAACACACCAAGCUGAAGACACUGUGGGGAAGUUCACACGUGGCUGGCAAGCAGUGAGGGCGAAGAAAAGGUAAGCAGGAGGUGGCUGCCAGGAACAAGAGCCAAGGCUGGGGACGGACAGGGAAGAACCAGUGGACAGUG
rfam:Otolemur garnettii contig102096, whole genome shotgun sequence.